rnacentral:rRNA from 1 species
GAUGAACGCUGGCGGCGUGCCUAAUACAUGCAAGUCGAGCGAACGGACGAGAAGCUUGCUUCUCUGAUGUUAGCGGCGGACGGGUGAGUAACACGUGGAUAACCUACCUAUAAGACUGGGCUAACUUCGGGAAACCGGAGCUAAUACCGGAUAAUAUUUUGAACCGCAUGGUUCAAAAGUGAAAGACGGUCUUGCUGUCACUUAUAGAUGGAUCCGCGCUGCAUUAGCUAGUUGGUAAGGUAACGGCUUACCAAGGCAACGAUGCAUAGCCGACCUGAGAGGGUCAUCGGCCACACUGGAACUGAGACACGGUCCAGACUCCUACGGGAGGCAGCAGUAGGGAAUCUUCCGCAAUGGGCGAAAGCCUGACGGAGCAACGCCGCGUGAGUGAUGAAGGUCUUCGGAUCGUAAAACUCUGUUAUUAGGGAAGAACAUAUGUGUAAGUAACUGUGCACAUCUUGACGGUACCUAAUCAGAAAGCCACGGCUAACUACGUG